AACGAACGCUGGCGGCAUGCCUAACACAUGCAAGUCGAACGAGACCUUCGGGUCUAGUGGCGCACGGGUGCGUAACGCGUGGGAACCUGCCCUUAGGUUCGGAAUAACUCCCCGAAAGGGGUGCUAAUACCGGAUAAUGUCUUCGGACCAAAGAUUUAUCGCCUUUGGAUGGGCCCGCGUUGGAUUAGCUAGUUGGUAGGGUAAAAGCCUACCAAGGCGACGAUCCAUAGCUGGUCUGAGAGGAUGAUCAGCCACACUGGGACUGAGACACGGCCCAGACUCCUACGGAAGGCAGCAGUGGGGAAUAUUGGACAAUGGGCGAAAGACUAAUCCAGCAAUGCCGCGUAAGUGAUGAAGGCCUUAGGGUUGUAAAGCUCUUUUACACGGGAUGAUAAUGACAGUACCGGGAGAAUAAGCUCCGGCUAACUCCGUG
rnacentral:rRNA from 1 species